CCUGGCAGCCCUCCUUGGGCGUUUCCUCCCUAGACUUGGGCCGCUGACAGCCGUCAGCGGCCUUUUUUCUUGUGCAGU
rnacentral:sRNA from 1 species